rnacentral:rRNA from 1 species
GACGUAGGGCGCGAGCGUUGUCCGGAUUUAUUGGGCGUAAAGAGCUCGUAGGCGGCUUGUCGCGUCGACUGUGAAAUCCCGCGGCUCAACUGCGGGUCUGCAGUCGAUACGGGCAGGCUAGAGUUCGGUAGGGGAGACUGGAAUUCCUGGUGUAGCGGUGAAAAUGCGCAGAUAUCAGGAGGAACACCGAUGGCGAAGGCAGGUCUCUGGGCCGAUACUGACGCUGAGGAGCGAAAGCGUGGGGAGCGAACAGG